rnacentral:rRNA from 1 species
ACGAAGUAGCAAUACUUAGUGGCAGACGGGUGAGUAACAUGUAGGUAUCUGCCCUUUGGCCUGGAAUAACACGAGGAAACUUGUGCUAAUACCGGAUAAGUCUUUACGGAGAAAGCUUUAUGCACCAUUGGAUGAGCCUGCACUUGAUUAGUUUGUUGGUGGGGUAAUGGCCUACCAAGACUGUGAUCAAUAGCUGAUUUGAGAGGAUGAUCAGCCACAUUGGGACUGAGACACGGCCCAAACUCCUACGGGAGGCAGCAGUGGGGAAUCUUGCACAAUGGAGGAAACUCUGAUGCAGCGAUGCCGCGUGAGUGAAGAAGGCCCUUGGGUUGUAAAGCUCUUUCGUCGGGGAAGAAAAUGACUGUACCCGAAUAAGAAGGUCCGG